GGAUGGGUUCCCGAGUGGCCAAAGGGGGCAGACUGUAAAUCUGUUGCGACUCGCUUCGAUGGUUCGAAUCCAUCUCCAUCCA
rnacentral:tRNA from 1 species